AUUCAGGACUGAUAAAAAAUGUGUACACUCUAACUGCUGCCUGAGUUCAGACAUGGUGCUUCGAAGAAUGAAAAAUGGGACUCGCAUUAUGCUGAUUCUUCCAGAAUGUAAUGCUUCGAGGAGCCUUUAAAUCAUACUGUUUAAAAUGUCGACAUUGAGGUACCAUGAAGAGAAUUGUGACAUUGGAUUUGGGGAAUUUAAGUUUGGCCCUCUUUUCAUGAGGUUAUGCUAUGAGCUAGGUUUAGAUGAGCUGGGAGCCAGAACCCUGACUGAUCCAAAUGAUAUUGAGAGAGCCCAGGCAUUCUACUCUCAGAUAAUGAGCACAGAAAGUCGGCUGUGCCAGAACCUAAGG